rnacentral:misc_RNA from 1 species
UGCCAGUUGACUCUGCCUGACAG